AAGUCUGCCAAGUUCAAAAAACAUACAAAUAAUAAGGUUGAUAACCCGAAUUCUCAAUAGCCACCCUCCAUAGAGACAAAUACCAUCAAUGAAGGGGAUAUACAAACCAAAAAAUAAUAUAAUCGACCAACAUACAACUAUGUCAGCUUCUAAUCAUUUUCAAAGGAUAUAAUGCAGAACCAUUUAUGUGAGUCUUUACGGGCUCAAUUUCAAGGAUUUCUACCUGCUCGGUCUCAUCCAUAAGGAAAGUUGUAGGCCGUGGCUCGAAACCCUGCGAUGUACCAACAUUAUUAGUCAAACACGGAAGAUGCAAUUCGUGGGGGAAACAUGCUUUAAAGCAUGAAGUACCUUCAGCACUGAGCAUGCCUUGAUCAGCAGUUCCGGAGACAAAGUUGGAGGACUGUAAUUGCUGUGCAAAUGCAAUGCUUUGGUUGUGACCUUGUAUGAAAAAAGAACCUUCAGUAGACU
rnacentral:lncRNA from 1 species